UACGUAGGUGGCAAGCGUUAAUCGGAAUUACUGGGCGUAAAGCGUGCGCAGGCGGUUCGCUAAGACCGAUGUGAAAUCCCCGGGCUUAACCUCGGGAACUGCAUUGGUGACUGGCGGGCUAGAGUAUGGCAGAGGGGGGUAGGAAUUCCACGUGUAGCAGUGAAAUGCGUAGAGAUGUGGAGGAAUACCGAUGGCGAAGGCAGCCCCCUGGGCCAAUACUGACGCUCAUGCACGAAAGCGUGGGGAGCAAACAGG
rnacentral:rRNA from 1 species